rnacentral:lncRNA from 1 species
UACUCUUGAUCUUGAUAUGAUUUACAUUAUAUGCACGGGGCAAGGUCCUUGAGGAACAAAUAUAUUAAAUAAAGAGGUCACUUGACUGUGUAGCAUAGUUUUUUUUCUCUACGCAAUAUUUGCUCCAAAUUGGCCUAUUGUGUUUGUGUGAAUCAGUGCACUCCUAAAAUGUUAUUUGCAAGAGAAAAACAAAAAAGAAACAUAGCAUCUAAUAGUGAUGCUGCUUGGUCAUAUUUGGAGGUUUUAUAACACGGUAAUUAACUGAUUUAAAUUAUUCUCCAUAAAGAAUUUUUACACAAUGAUGAUGCCAUGUUAUUUAACUCAUAAAUAAGCUGAUAGUGUGAAAAACGAUUCGUCCAUCAAUGUAUAACAAUUAAAGUAAAAAUAAUUUCAUCUACAACAUAUUUGCAUUUCUGAAGAUACAGUUACACAAAACACUAGAAUUGAGACAUACUAAGACAUAAUCAUCUUAAGCUCCAGGAACAAAUUUUGUGGCAUAAACCCAAGCAUUGUUAGCAACAGGGUUAUCAAGGUGGUCCAACAAGUUCUCAAGAGGUCCUUUGCCAGUGACAAUAGCUUGAACAAAGAAUCCGAACAUAGAGAACAUUGCCAACCUUCCAUUCUUGAUCUCCUUCACCUUGAGCUCGGCAAAAGUUGUCGGGUCAUCGGCUAGGCCAAGUGGGUCAAAAUAUUGACCACCAGGGUAUAAAUUGUUGCCUUCUCCAACUCCAGGAAGUCCAUUAAUUCUAAAACCUUCAACAAGUCCCAUGAGUACAACUUGGAAACCUAGCACAGCUAGAAU